rnacentral:rRNA from 1 species
UGGGCAACCUGCCCCAGACUCUGGGAUAACUCCGGGAAACCGGGGCUAAUACCGGAUACUCCGAUCGGACGACAUCGUCUGACCGGGAAAGCUCCGACGGUCUGGGAUGGGCCCGCGGCCUAUCAGCUUGUUGGUGGGGUAAUGGCCUACCAAGGCGUCGACGGGUAGCUGGUCUGAGAGGACGGCCAGCCACACUGGGACUGAGACACGGCCCAGACUCCUACGGGAG